UGAAGUCCAAAUCCAUUUGGGGUUUUCUUGGCAAAAAUACUGGAUUUCCUUUAUUUGUUUGUUUGUUUAUUCAUUUAUUCGUUUAGUUUUUGCCAUUUCCUUCUUCAGUUCAUUUACAGAUGAGUAAACUGAGGCAAGGAGGGCUAAAUGACUUGCCCAGUGUCACAUAACUAGGAAAUAUCUGAGGCUGGAUUUGAAUUCACUCUUCCUGACUCCAGGCUUUGUGUUCUAUUCACAUGCCACUUACCUACCCAGUUAGUCCCCAUAGCUAGAAUGCUGGGAUGAAACAGGAAGAACUGGCAAUCUUAUAACUCCCAUCUCUCUGUCUCUUGCCUUACUUUAACUGAAUGCAACUGGUGUCCAUUUCUAUGUGUCCUUUAAAAAAUUCAAAUAAACAUAGUAGCUUCUUGGAAUCCUAGGGGAUACUUGGGUGAAAGGUAGACACCCAAAGGGAUAAUCAGACUUGAUCAUCAUAUAGUAUUGUUGUUGAAAUAUAUAUAAUGAUCUCCUGGCCCUGCUCGUUUCACUCAGCAUCAGGUCGUGUAAGUCCCUCCAGGCCUCUCUGAAAUCCUCCUGCUGGUCAUUUCUUACCGAACAAUAAUAUUCCAUAAUAUUCAUAUACCACAAUUUAUUCAGCCAUUCUCCAAUUGAUGGGCAUCUACUCCGGUUCCAGUUUCUUCGGCCUUCAUUUUUGAAGAGGACCGAUGACAUCAGUUAUCGGAGUCAGAAAAGUCAGAAUGACCAGUGAUGGCCCAGGAUGCUUGGAUGACCUUGACAGCUUCACUAGCCGAUCAAGCUCUCGCUGUGGGAACAAAUUGUUCUCAUCUACCCAUUCCACCACAAGGGAAGACACUCCCCUAACUUACCAAUGACUUAGCUACCCUUGACCUGGUUUAGCCUUUCUACAAGGAUUAUUUUUUAUUAAAGCUUUUUAUUUUUCAAAACA